UUAAUAAUUUCGUGUGUUUAUCCAACUACUUCGUUCGCGAUAGUAAAAAAAUAUAUUAUUUCAGCUUGAAUUUGGAUUCUGAUGAUAUCUUACUCGCUUCACCUUGACUAUUCUAUACUGGAUUCUCUUGCUGGAUUCGAUAUACUUGGAACAUUUGCCUUGGUUUUAUUUUAUUGAAAUCAGUGUUACUUACGAGUGGUAUUAGUUGUGCGUCGUAUUUAUACACUCAUAAAUAUCAUGAGAAAUAAGCGCAAACCCUAUGCAGGUGUGAGACUUCUUAAAAGAUGGAGAAAAAUCAGCAGAUCCCAAGUUGUGCCAGUCAGCCUGAUCAACAUUCUUUAAAUCGGGAUGCACCAUGUGGAGGUAUCCUGACGUUGCAUCCCUUCUUCUACCUGCCCCUGGGUCAUUCCAAUAGGGAGUCAGCACAACACUGAUGUUCAUACACGACGUAGAUAGGACUUGGCUUUGUUUCUAUGUUGACUGCCUGUCAGACGACUACUGCCUAUAAUGAGUUUAUUUGUGAAAUAUUAUACCAACAAAUAUAACUUACUAGAUUUAUACAUUGAUUUAUUACCCUAUUUACCAAUUUACUCUUGUGACUAAAAUUAUUAGAAUUAAAAAUCUUGCUAAAAUUUGCCUUUUUUUUCUUCAAUCUAAAUUACCUUAUCAAUGGCAUGUGUAUCACUUUCCUAGGGGGCAGUGUAGUGUCCUAGACUAACUCUUGGAUCUGUCCUCUGUGCCUAAGGGCACGGCCAGAUAUUGAUUUUGAAGCCAAUUGGCCUCAAAACAAAGAAAUUCAAUAUGGCGGAUACCCUUCUAAAUUCUAAUAUGGAUCUGUCCUUUGUACCUAAGGGCACGGCCAGAUAUUAGUUUUUUAAGCCAAUGACCUCAAAACAAAUAAAUUGAAGACGUUGGCUACUAUUCUUAAUUCUGAUAUUGGAUCUGUCUUUUGUAUGUAAAGGAACGGCCACAUAUUAAUUUUAAAGCUAAUUAGCCUUAAAACAAAUGAAUUCAAAAUGGCGGCUACUUUUCUAAAUUCUAACAUGGAUCUGCCCUUUGUACCUAAGGGCACGGCCAGGUAUUGAUUUUGAAGCUAAUUAGCCUUAAAACAAAUGAAUUCAAAAUGGCGGCUACUUUUCUAAAUUCUAACAUGAAUCUGCCCUUUGUACCUAAGGGCACGGCCAGGUAUUGAUUUUGAAGCUAAUUGGCCUUAUAACAAAUAAAUUCAAAAUGGCGGCUACUUUUCUAAAUUCUAACAUGAAUCUGCCCUUUGUACCUAAGGGCACGGCCAGGUAUUGAUUUUGAAGCUAAUUGGCCUUAUAACAAAUAAAUUUAAGAUGGAGGCUACUUUUCUCAAUUAUAACAUGGAUCUGCCCUUUGUACCUCAGGGCACGGCCAAGUAUUGAUUUUCAAGCCAAUUGGCUUCAAAACAAAUAAAUUCAAGAUGGCGGUUACUUUUCUCAAUUCUAUCAUGGAUCUGUCCUUUGUACCUAAGAGCAAAGCCAGAUAUUGAGUUUUAAGCCAAUUGGCCUCAAAACAAAGAAAUUUAAGAUGUCGGCCACUUUUCUCAAUUCUAACAUGGAUAUGUCCUCUGUACCUAAGGGCACGGCCAGGUAUUGAUUUUGAAGCCGGUUGGCCAUAAAACAAAUGAAUUCGAAAUGGCGGCCACUUUUCUCAAUUCUAGCAUGGAUCUGUCCUUUGUACCUAAAGGCACGCCCAGAUAUUGAUUUUGAAGCCAAUUGGCCUCAAAACAAAUUAAUUCAAGAUGGCGGCUACUUUUCUUAAUUCUGAUAUUGGAUGUCUUCUGUAUGUAUGGAAACGGCCAGAUAUUAUUUUCAAAGCUAAUUGGCCUCAAAACAAAUGAAUUUAAAUUGACGGCUACUUUUCUAAAUUCUAACAUAGAUCUGUCCCUUGUACCUAAGAGCAAGGCCAGAUAUUAAUUUUUAAGCCAAUUGGCCUCAAAACAAAGAAAUUUAAGAUGGCGGUCACUUUGCUCAACUUUAACAUGGAUCUGUCCUUGGUACCUAAGGGCACGGCCAGAUAUGGAUUUUGAAGCCAGUUGGCCACAAAGAAAUUCAAAAUGGCGGCUACUUUUCUUAAUUCUGAUAUUGGAUCUGUCUUCUGUAUGUAAGGGCACGGCCAGAUAUUAACUUUAAAGCCAAUUGACCUCCAAACAAAGAAAUUCAAAAUGGCGGCCACUUUUCUCAAUCCUACUAAUAACAUUAUAAUUGCGAAGUUUGUCAGGAUGGAUGGAUGUAUGUAUGUUUGUUCCUCUUUCACGAAAAAACUACUGAACACAUAUGCUACAAUUUAUAAUGAUUUUGCGUAAUUUGGUCAUAAUAUAAGUAACGAUACCUAUCAACGUACGCUGCAUAAACCGUUGGAAUUAAACAAAGACGAUGUACCGUAGGAUUGUUUAGUUGACCUUGGAAAGCGCGAAUUUUAUCCCGGAAAACUCCUUCACGCUUCACGGCGAAAUCGCGAGCAAUAACUAGUGCUAACAAAUCAGUAUUUUAUAUCUUAGUCUUUUAUAUCUAAGCUAAUGGGCUUAUAAACAAAGAAAUUAAAAGUGGCGGCCACUUUUAUCAAUUCUGACACUUCAUCAAGAUUUUGCACCCAAUCGCAAGCCAACAAACCAAAUCUAAAAGGAGUAAUUAUAAUUAAGUUUUUGAACUAGCAGUGCCUUCACAAGUGAACAUCGUCGCGUUUGUGUGGCCUUAGAUUAUUUAUCUCAAACACCCCUUCAAACCUCUCAGUAAGACCCAAAUCCGAAAAUCUGAACGAACUAUAGUCAAAUUUUCAGAAUUCCAGAUGCUUGCAUUUGUAUCUAGUAGUAACAGAACAAAGGAUAAAGUAGGUAUGUACCUAAAAUAUGAAUGUUUCGCAAUAAAGCACUUAACAAAUGAAA